CAGGCAUAAUGAUGAAAGAUUUCGAUCUGAUAGUUUAUGUGAUGAACUAAUUACCUCCUACUCAUACUGA